CCUACGGGAGGCAGCAGUGAGGAAUAUUGGUCAAUGGGCGCGAGCCUGAACCAGCCAAGCCGCGUGAAGGAUGAAGGUCCUACGUAUUGUAAACCUCUUUUAUAAAGGAAUAAAGGCAGGCACGUGUCCCUUUAUGAGUGUACCUUAUGAAUAAGCAUCGGCUAACUCCGUGCCAGCAGCCGCGGUAAUACGGAGGAUCCGAGCGUUAUCCGGAUUUAUUGGGUUUAAAGGGUGCGUAGGUGGGUUGUUAAGUCAGCUGUGAAAGCUCGGGGCUCAACCGUAGAACUGCAAUUGAUACUGGCAGCCUUGAGUAUGGGUGAGGUAGGCGGAAUUCGUGGUGUAGCGGUGAAAUGCAUAGAGAUCACGAAGAACACCGAUUGCGAAGGCAGCCUGCUA
rnacentral:rRNA from 1 species